GUCGAGAAUCUUUCACAAUGGGGGCAACCCUGAUGGAGCGACGCCGCGUGGAGGAUAAGGUCUUCGGAUUGUAAACUCCUGUCAUGCGUGAACAAGGUUGCUUGGUUAAUACCUGGGCAAAUUGAUGGUAACGCAAGAGGAAGAGACGGCUAACUCUGUGCCAGCAGCCGCGGUAAUACAGAGGUCUCAAGCGUUGUUCGGAAUCACUGGGCGUACAGGGUGCGUAGGUGGCGUGGUAAGUCAGAUGUGAAAGCCCGGGGCUCAACCUCGGAACUGCAUCCGAUACUGCCAUGCUGGAGUACUGGAGAGGUGACUAGAAUUCUCGGUGUAGCAGUGAAAUGCGUAGAUAUCGAGAGGAAUACCAAAGGCGUAGGCAGGUCACUGGACAGUUACUGACACUGAGGCACGAAGGCCAGGGGAGCGAACGGGAUUAGAAACCCUUGUAGUCC
rnacentral:rRNA from 1 species